rnacentral:rRNA from 1 species
AACUUUCAACAACGGAUCUCUUGGCUCUCGCAUCGAUGAAGAACGCAGCGAAAUGCGAUAAGUAAUGUGAAUUGCAGAAUUCAGUGAAUCAUCGAAUCUUUGAACGCACCUUGCACUCCUUGGUAUUCCGAGGAGUAUGCCUGUUUGAGUGU